CCUACGGGUGGCUGCAGUGGGGAAUAUUGCACAAUGGGGGAAACCCUGAUGCAGCGACGCCGCGUGAGUGAAGAAGCGUUUCGGCGCGUAAAGCUCUGUCAGCGGGGAAGAAACACGGUUCGCGAGAGCCGCGGACGGUACCCGACCAAGAAGCCCCGGCUAACUACGUGCCAGCAGCCGCGGUAAUACGUAGGGGGCAAGCGUUAUCCGGAUUCACUGGGUGUAAAGGGAGCGUAGACGGCGAGACAAGUCUGGAGUGAAAGGCCGGGGCCCAACCCCGGGACUGCUCUGGAAACUGCCUGGCUGGAGUACAGGAGGGGCAGGCGGAAUUCCUGGUGUAGCGGUGAAAUGCGUAGAUAUCAGGAGGAACACCGGCGGCGAAGGCGGCCUGCUGGACUGAAACUGACGUUGAGGCUCGAAAGCGUGGGGAGCAAACAGGAUUAGAUACCCGGGUAGUC
rnacentral:rRNA from 1 species